UUUUGAAACGCGUCAAAGCGUAACUUUAACACCCAAAAUACCAUUAAUUUUUAUGAACCCCUAAUUUAUAAUGAAUGACUCCAUAUUUAUAUGGAAGACACCAUGCUAGGAUUAGUAACAAGAAUUUAUAAUUCUCCAAAAUGCAAAUAUAAACCAACAUGGAUAGACCAUUGGUAGUUACCGAACCUAAAUUUAAUGCAAUAACAUCCACAAGAAAACUCUGCAGCACUCACUCGUUAACCUAACACCAGCGCAUUACAGGAAAGAUUCAAAAAAAGAGAAGGAAUUCGGCAAAUGACGGCCCCGCCUGUUUACCAAAAACAUCGCCUCUUGACUUAUAAUAAGAGGUCUAGCCUGCCCAGUGAAUUUUAAACGGCCGCGGUAUCCUAACCGCGCGAAGGUAGCAUAAUCACUUGUUCUUUAAAUGGGGACUCGUAUCAACGGCAUCACGAGGGUUUUACUGUCUCCUCUUUUUGAUCAGUGAAAUUGAUCUUCCCGUGAAGAAGCGGGAAUAUUUUUAUAAGACGAGAAGACCCCAUGGAGCUUUAAACCAAAUAACAACUUAACCACUUAUCCCAUAAUAAAUUUAACCCCUGUUAUAAGGUUUUUGGUUGGGGUGACCGCGGAGUAAAGCACAUCCUCCACGACGGAAAGAAUAAAAUCUUUAUUUAAGAACCACACUUCUAGAAAUUAGUAUACUAACGUUUACUGACCCGACAAUCGAUCAACGGACCAAGUUACCCUGGGGAUAACAGCGCAAUCUACUUCGAGAGCUCAUAUCGACAAGUAGGCUUACGACCUCGAUGUUGGAUCAGGGUAUCCCGGUGGUGCAGCCGCUACCGAAGGUUCGUUUGUUCAACGAUUAAAACCCUACGUGAUCUG
rnacentral:rRNA from 1 species